ACACUGGCGGCCAUGGAACUCACCGGUAAUAGAGGACACAUCUCUUAACUGGGUUGCUCUAAGAACUGAUGUCUAAACCGUCUCAGCAUGGCCUGUAGAGGAGGAGCUGGGAAUGGCCACCGUGCCUCAGCUACACUCUCUCGGGUUAGCCCUGGAAGUCUUUACACAUGUAGAACCCGUACCCAUAAUAUAUGCAUGGUAUCUGACUUUUUCUACCCAAAUAUGGGAGGCGUGGAAAGCCACAUUUACCAGCUCUCUCAGUGCCUGAUUGAAAGAGGGCAUAAGGUUAUAAUUGUCACCCAUGCUUAUGGAAAUCGAAAAGGCAUCCGUUACCUCACCAGUGGCCUCAAAGUCUAUUACUUGCCUCUGAAAGUCAUGUACAACCAGUCUACAGCCACGACCCUCUUUCACAGUCUGCCAUUGCUCAGGGAUCGAUUUGCUUAGUGGUAUAAUACCUGAACUCUGUCAGAAAUAUCCAGAUUUAAAUUUCAUAAUUGGAGGAGAGGGACCAAAGAGAAUCAUUUUGGAAGAAGUUCGGGAAAGAUACCAGCUGCAUGACAGGGUGCGUCUUUUGGGAGCUUUAGAACACAAGGAUGUUAGAAAUGUCUUAGUUCAAGGACAUAUUUUUCUGAAUACCUCCCUUACUGAAGCAUUCUGCAUGGCGAUCGUGGAAGCAGCCAGUUGU
rnacentral:lncRNA from 1 species